GACGAACGCUGGCGGCGUGCCUAAUACAUGCAAGUAGAACGCUGAAGAGAGGAGCUUGCUCUUCUUGGAUGAGUUGCGAACGGGUGAGUAACGCGUAGGUAACCUGCCUGGUAGCGGGGGAUAACUAUUGGAAACGAUAGCUAAUACCGCAUGAUAUUAAUUGUCGCAUGAUAAUUAAUUGAAAGAUGCAAUUGCAUCACUACCAGAUGGACCUGCGUUGUAUUAGCUAGUUGGUGAGGUAACGGCUCACCAAGGCGACGAUACAUAGCCGACCUGAGAGGGUGAUCGGCCACACUGGGACUGAGACACGGCCCAGACUCCUACGGGAGGCAGCAGUAGGGAAUCUUCGGCAAUGGGGGGAACCCUGACCGAGCAACGCCGCGUGAGUGAAGAAGGUUUUCGGAUCGUAAAGCUCUGUUGUAAGAGAAGAACGGGUGUGAGAGUGGAAAGUUUCACACUGUGACGGUAUCUAC
rnacentral:rRNA from 1 species